CGUAACGCGUGGGAAUCUGCCCUUGGGUUCGGAAUAACUUCUGGAAACGGAAGCUAAUACCGGAUGAUGACGUAAGUCCAAAGAUUUAUCGCCCAAGGAUGAGCCCGCGUAGGAUUAGCUAGUUGGUGGGGUAAAGGCCCACCAAGGCGACGAUCCUUAGCUGGUCUGAGAGGAUGAUCAGCCACACUGGGACUGAGACACGGCCCAGACUCCUACGGGAGGCAGCAGUAGGGAAUAUUGGACAAUGGGCGAAAGCCUGAUCCAGCAAUGCCGCGUGAGUGAUGAAGGCCUUAGGGUUGUAAAGCUCUUUUACCCGGGAUGAUAAUGACAGUACCGGGAGAAUAAGCUCCGGCUAACUCCGUGCCAGCAGCCGCGGUAAUACGGAGGGAGCUAGCGUUGUUCGGAAUUACUGGGCGUAAAGCGCACGUAGGCGGCUAUUCAAGUCAGAGGUGAAAGCCCGGGGCUCAACCCCGGAACUGCCUUUGAAACUAGAUAGCUUGAAUCCAGGAGAGGUGAGUGGAAUUCCGAGUGUAGAGGUGAAAUUCGUAGAU
rnacentral:rRNA from 1 species